UCUCUCCUGGAAACGGGUGGUAAUGCCGGAUGCUCCAGUUGAUCGCAUGGUCUUCUGGGAAAGCUUUCGCGGUAUGGGAUGGGGUCGCGUCCUAUCAGCUUGACGGCGGGGUAACGGCCCACCGUGGCUUCGACGGGUAGCCGGCCUGAGAGGGCGACCGGCCACAUUGGGACUGAGAUACGGCCCAGACUCCUACGGGAGGCAGCAGUGGGGAAUAUUGCACAAUGGGCGCAAGCCUGAUGCAGCGACGCCGCGUGAGGGAUGGAGGCCUUCGGGUUGUAAACCUCUUUUAUCGGGGAGCAAGCGAGAGUGAGUUUACCCGUUGAAUAAGCACCGGCUAACUACGUGCCAGCAGCCGCGGUAAUACGUAGGGUGCAAGCGUUAUCCGGAAUUAUUGGGCGUAAAGGGCUCGUAGGCGGUUCGUCGCGUCCGGUGUGAAAGUCCAUCGCUUAACGGUGGAUCCGCGCCGGGUACGGGCGGGCUUGAGUGCGGUAGGGGAGACUGGAAUUCCCGGUGUAACGGUGGAAUGUGUAGAUAUCGGGAAGAACACCAAC
rnacentral:rRNA from 1 species